rnacentral:antisense_RNA from 1 species
GAAACUGCUGCUGGGUCUGGAGAGGUGAAGACCCAUGGCCAGCUUCUGUUGUUGCCAUCUGCCAUUGCUUUUUGUUCGCUUGCUUUUGGUUUUGCAAGAAGCGCGGCCUCUGUCUCUGAUCUGCUUCAAAUCAUCAUUCCAUCAGUGAGAGAAGUGGCCGUUCCAUCAGUGGUCGCAGCCAGUUCAGCUCCUGCAUCCAUCCGCAAGUGUUCUGAGUGGAAUUUGAGGCCUCCCCAACCACCCACCAAAAAAGGAGGGUGAAAUGAAAGGAAGAAGAAAAACUCAGCAUUCUUUCCUCUGACAAAGAGUAAAACGACAAGGAAUAUCGGCCUGAAUUCUCUUCCCAAGAAGAAAGAAAUCACACCAACGCAGGCAUUUGUCUUCUGUCCAUGGUGCUGAAGUUUAUUCACUUUCAAACCACUUUCAGUAACAGAUCUGCGUUGGACACGGCAUUGUACAUGGGAUUAGCUCUGGUCUGACCUAGGAGCUGGAAUGCCAGUAAAAGGAGGAAGCUCACGGUGGUGGUGGAGAAGGAGCUCAUGCUGGCGUCGUCAAGGAGCAAUCCACUGCUUGCUGCUCUGUCUCUCCCCUCUGGUUCCUCUCUGGUUCCCCUCUCUUGGCCUAUGUCUGUCCCUGUCUCCCAGCUGCCCAGUGCCUCCUCUUUUUAUAGCCCCCCAGCUCUCCAAGCACGCAGGAGAGACAGAACCCUCCCCAUUCUGUCACUUGCAGUGAUAAAGCUGCCAAGUGAGAAGCCAGCAGGAGAUGCCCUUUUAAAGUUAUCAUCCCGCAGGGCUUGUCACAGCCCCUCUCUGCCUUGGGCAGCCCCAACAGCCCCCCAGACCCUCAGCUGCAAGAGCCGCAUUCUUACUGAUUUGACUCAAGAGGCUCCCACUUCAAAGGUGUGAGAAGAGUAAAAAAGAGUCCUUGGUUAUCUCA